ACGGGAGGCAGCAGUGGGGAGUAUUGCACAAUGGGCGAAAGCCUGAUGCAGCGACGCCGCGUGAGCGAAGAAGUAUUUCGGUAUGUAAAGCUCUAUCAGCAGGGGAGAUAAUGACGGUACCUGACUAAGAAGCACCGGCUAAAUACGUGCCAGCAGCCGCGGUAAUACGUAUGGUGCAAGCGUUAUCCGGAUUUACUGGGUGUAAAGGGAGUGUAGGUGGUUUGGCAAGCCAGAUGUGAAAACCCGGGGCUCAACCCCGCGGACUGCAUUUGGAACUGUUAAACUUGAGUGCAGGAGAGGAAAGUGGAAUUCCUAGUGUAGCGGUGAAAUGCGUAGAUAUUAGGAGGAACACCAGUGGCGAAGGCGGCUUUCUGGACUGUAACUGACACUGAGGCUCGAAAGCGUGGGGAGCAAACAGGAUUAGAUACCCUGGUA
rnacentral:rRNA from 1 species